UGGGGAAUAUUGCACAAUGGGCGCAAGCCUGAUGCAGCAACGCCGCGUGAACGAUGAAGGUCUUCGGAUCGUAAAGUUCUGUUGCAGGGGAAGAUAAUGACGGUACCCUGUGAGGAAGCCCCGGCUCACUACGUGCCAGCAGCCGCGGUAAUACGUAGGGGGCUAGCGUUAUCCGGAUUUACUGUGCGUAAAGGGUGCGUAGGUGGUCUUUCAAGUCGGUGGUUAAAGGCUACGGCUCAACCGUAGUUAGCCUCCGAAACUGGAAGACUUGAGUGCAGGAGAGGAAAGUGGAAUUCCCAGUGUAGCGGUGAAAUGCGUAGAUAUUGGGAGGAACACCAGUAGCGAAGGCGGCUUUCUGGACUGCAACUGACACUGAGGCACGAAAGCGUGGGUAGCAAACAGG
rnacentral:rRNA from 1 species